rnacentral:rRNA from 1 species
UACGGAGGGUGCUAGCGUUGUUCGGAAUUACUGGGCGUAAAGCGCGCGUAGGCGGCUUUGUAAGUUAGAGGUGAAAGCCCGGAGCUCAACGCCGGAACUGCCUUUAAAACUGCAUCGCUUGAAUCCAGGAGAGGUGAGUGGAAUUCCGAGUGUAGAGGUGAAAUUCGUAGAUAUUCGGAAGAACACCAGUGGCGAAGGCGGCUCGCUGGACCGGUAUUGACGCUGAGGUGCGAAAGCGUGGGGAGCAAACAGG